AGAGUCAUAAAAGUGAAGAUUGCCCGAA
rnacentral:sRNA from 1 species